ensembl:misc_RNA Metazoa_SRP Metazoan signal recognition particle RNA
GCUGGGCGUGGUGGUCCACGCCUGUAAUCCCAGCUACUAAGGAGGCUGAGGCAGGAGAAUUGCUCGAACCCAGGAGGCGGAGAUUGCAGUGAGCUGAGGUUGUACCACAGCACUCCAGCCUGGGCAAGAGAGCGAGACUCUGUCUCAA